AUUGAACGCUGGCGGCAUGCCUUACACAUGCAAGUCGAACGGUACAGGUCUUCGGAUGCUGACGAGUGGCGAACGGGUGAGUAAUACAUCGGAACGUGCCUAGUAGUGGGGGAUAACUACUCGAAAGAGUGGCUAAUACCGCAUGAGAUCUACGGAUGAAAGCAGGGGAUCGCAAGACCUUGUGCUACUAGAGCGGCCGAUGGCAGGUUAGGUAGUUGGUGGGAUAAAAGCUUACCAAGCCGACGAUCUGUAGCUGGUCUGAGAGGACGAUCAGCCACACUGGGACUAAGAAACGGCCCAGACUCCUACGGGAGGCAGCAGUGGGGAAUUUUGGACAAUGGGCGCAAGCCUGAUCCAGCAAUGCCGCGUGCAGGAUGAAGGCCUUCGGGUUGUAAACUGCUUUUGUACGGAACGAAAAGCCCCGGGUUAAUACCCUGGGGUCAUGACGGUACCGUAAGAAUAAGCACCGGCUAACUACGUGCCAGCAGCCGCCGUAA
rnacentral:rRNA from 1 species